CAGUAGCCGCGGUAAUACAGAGGGUGCGAGCGUUAAUCGGAUUUACUGGGCGUAAAGCGUGCGUAGGCGGCUUCUUAAGUCGGAUGUGAAAUCCCUGAGCUUAACUUAGGAAUUGCAUUCGAUACUGGGAAGCUAGAGUAUGGGAGAGGAUAGUAGAAUUCCAGGUGUAGCGGUGAAAUGCGUAGAGAUCUGGAGGAAUACCGAUGGCGAAGGCAGCCAUCUGGCCUAAUACUGACGCUGAGGUACGAAAGCAUGGGGAGCAAACAGGAUUAGAUACCCGAGUAGUCCCUGUCUCUUAUAA
rnacentral:rRNA from 1 species